CUAGGUUAGAAUCAGCCCUAAUCCAUCUCAUUCUCCCCAAAUAGUGCCGCCACAAACUCUCCCUCAUCCCUCUUUGCGAUCUAGAAGCUUUUCGGUAAAAAUUCGAGGUUGUUUUGAGCUUUAAAUCGUUCCUUUCAUCAAGUCCAGGUUAAAGGUCGUGGGAACAUCUAGCAAGCUCUAUAAUCAGCUUUUGUGCAUUUCUAAGCAUCAUUUGAGAGUAGCAUUGAUAAAGGAUCGUGUGAGAAGCAGCGGGUAGACUAGAGUGCAUAGUCUUGAGGAGGCCUUAGUUACUAGAUACAUUUAGACAUUUAAUAUUACCUUUCAUUUCGGGUUUCUGUUAGCCCAUGGAUUGUAUUCAUUUCUGGUUUCUUGAAUUGAUGUUGUGGGAUUGACUAGUAAUAACACCAUUUAAAACAUUUGUGGUCAA